CCCUUAGGGGGUUCGGGAGGGGGCAGGGGGAAGGUUGGGAGAGGACUGCGGAGGGUCCUGGGGAGCAGGCGGGAACCCUGGACGCCGCAGCCAUCUGCGGACGCUGGUGUUUCUGUCCGCCUCCAAUUCAAGGGAACAUGGCUGCAUUGCAAGUAACCUGCAGAGGCCGCAGCCACCAGACCAAUGUCCUCAGACUUCAGCUGCAGAAGGAGGGGGUGAGCAGAGUCUCGGGACCAGCACUGAGAUUCUGAUAGGCUCCUGGAUCAUCAGGACCCGAGAGGCACGGACUGGUGGCCUUCAGGUACCUCAGCGUGUCUGGGUGGGAGGCAUCACAGCUGAACAAGAAGUCGGCGUCCUUUGGGUCACUGAUGGAGCCCCCUUCGGCCACUGUGGAGGCAAAAGCACAAGAGUAAUGGGCGGGAAAAGCCCGAAGCUAAAGGAAGAGGCGUCUGGUCACUACUGGCGAGGCGCGUGGGAUUGUGAAGAAGCGGCUCAGCUUUCACCCCGAGGUGGCGGAGAAGGGUCAGUCAUGCUUGAGAAUGAAAAGCAACUCAAAGACUGGAGAAAAGUAUUUGUAAAGCUUGUACCUGAUAAAGGUCAAAUAUCCAGGAUAUAAGAAGAACUCUAAAAAUUCAACAGCAAAAAGACAAACACUCAAUUUAAAAAUGAGCAAAGGACUUGAUUAGAUAUUUCUCCCAAGAAGACUGACAGAUGGCCAACAAGUAUAUAAAAGAUGCUAACAUCAUUAAAGAAAUGCACAUUAAAAACCACAAUGGUUGGUUCAUACCAACUAGGAUUGCUAUAAUUUUUUUUAAUAGAAAAUAACAAACAUUGGUGGGGACCUGGAGAAAUCGGAAACUUCAUACAUUUUUCUGAGAAUAUAAGAUGGUACAGCUACUGUGGAAAACAGUUUGGCAGUUCCUGAAAAUGCUAAACAUAGAAUUAAUACAUGGCCAACCAUUCCACAACUAGGCAGAUACCAAAAAAUAUUAAAACAGGUGUUCAAACAAAAACUUGUUCACAGAUAUUAAUAGCAGCACUAUUGACACUUGUCUCAGUUGGAAAUAACCUAAAUGUUCAUCAGCCAAUGGAAUGGAUAAAUAAAAUAAAAUUUGGCAUAUCCAUGAAAUGAAAGAUUAUUCCAUUAUAGGAAGGAAUAAAGUACUGAUACAUGCUA